rnacentral:rRNA from 1 species
ACGUAAUAGAUACCCUGGUAGUCCACGCCCUAAACGAUGUCUACUAGUUGUUGGUGGAGUAAAAUCCAUGAGUAAACGCAGCUAAACGCGUGAAGUAGACCGCCUGGGGAGUACGGUCGCAAGAUUAAAAACUCAAAGGAAUUGACGGGGGCCCGCACAAGCGGUGGAUUAUGUGGAUUAAAUUCGAUGCAACGCGAAAAACCUUACCUGGCCUUGACAUGCCACUAACGAAGCAGAGAUGCAUUAGGUGCCCGUAAGGGAAAGUGGACACAGGUGCUGCAUGGCUGUCGUCAGCUCGUGUCGUGAGAUGUUGGGUUAAGUCCCGCAACGAGCGCAACCCUUGCCAUUAAUUGCCAUCAUUUAGUUGGGCACUUUAAUGGGACUGCCGGUGACAAACCGGAGGAAGGUGGGGAUGACGUCAAGUCCUCAUGGCCCUUAUGGCCAGGGCUUCACACGUAAUACAAUGGUCGGUACAGAGAGUUGCCAACCCGCGAGGGGAGCUAAUCUCAGAAAGCGAUCGUAGUCCGGAUUGUUCUCUGC